GACGAACGCUGGCGGCGUGCCUAAUACAUGCAAGUCGAACGCUGAAGAGAGGAGCUUGCUCUUCUUGGAUGAGUUGCGAACGGGGAGUAACGCGUAGGUAACCUGCCUUGUAGCGGGGGGUAACUAUUGGAAACGAUAGCUAAUACCGCAUAACAAUGGAAGACCCAUGUCAUUUAUUUGAAAAGGGCAAUUGCCCCACUACAAGAUGGACCUGCGUUGUAUUAGCUAGUAGGUGAGGUAAUGGCUCACCUAGGCGACGAUACAUAGCCGACCUGAGAGGGUGAUCGGCCACACUGGGACUGAGACACGGCCCAGACUCCUACGGGAGGCAGCAGUAGGGAAUCUUCGGCAAUGGGGGCAACCCUGACCGAGCAACGCCGCGUGAGUGAAGAAGGGUUUCGGAUCGUAAAGCUCUGUUGUAAGUCAAGAACGGGUGUGAGAGUGGAAAGUUCACACUGUGACGGUAGCUUACCAGAAAGGGACGGCUAACUACGUG
rnacentral:rRNA from 1 species